rnacentral:rRNA from 1 species
CCUACGGGAGGCAGCAGUGGGGAAUUUUCCGCAAUGGGCGAAAGCCUGACGGAGCAACGCCGCGUGAGGGAUGAAGGCCUCUGGGCUGUAAACCUCUUUUAUCAAGGAAGAAGAUCUGACGGUACUUGAUGAAUAAGCCACGGCUAAUUCCGUGCCAGCAGCCGCGGUAAUACGGGAGUGGCAAGCGUUAUCCGGAAUUAUUGGGCGUAAAGCGUCCGCAGGCGGUCUUGUAAGUCUGUCGUUAAAGCGUGGAGCUCAACUCCAUUUCGGCGGUGGAAACUACAAGACUAGAGUGUGGUAGGGGCAGAGGGAAUUCCCGGUGUAGCGGUGAAAUGGCGUAGAUAUCGGGAAGAACACCAGUGGCGAAGGCGCUCUGCUGGGCCAUAACUGACGCUCAUGGACGAAAGCUAGGGGAGCGAAAGGGAUUAGAUACCCCUGUAGUCCUAGCCGUAAACGAUGAACACUAGGUGUCGGGGGAAUCGACCCCUCGGUGUCGUAGCUAACGCGUUAAGUGUUCCGCCUGGGGAGUACGCACGCAAGUGUGAAACUCAAAGGAAUUGACGG